GUCGUUGGGUACAUCGCCCGACCACUCUAUGAAACCGGGUCAUUCCCGACCGAAGUUCGUCCAAAGGCAAGGCACCUUUCGACGGACCCCGGUCAGCAAUGACCCGGUUUUAUAGAAUGGUCUGGCGACGUACCAACGAA
rnacentral:pre_miRNA from 1 species